GGGCGGCUGGCUGCUGAUUAAAUCAGAAACAAAGCACUACCACAUUGAUGGCUGUGCACACCAAUGCUGUUGAGCUGCAGAGAACAAUUAAUUGCCAUAUCAUAGGAUGUGUGCGUGAGGUCAGGAAGGCAGUUGGGAAAUGUAAAAAUGCAGCGAAAAGUGUGUGCUUGUGCUCAUUAGAAGCCUGCUUUCUAUAGGCCCCAAGACCUCAGUGGUGACAGAGGCCCAGUUACCUCCUGCAGCCAUCUCAACUGGGGUGGUCUGGCAUGCCGAUGAGCUACAGAUGGGUCACACACUGCCAACAAGUCAGGGAGCCUCUCGGCUUUGGCAGAUUCAUCCAUUCACUAGAAACCACAGUGCAAAAGAUGCUCGUCUUCUCUGUAGGUUGAAAUAUGAAGAAGAGCUGCCUCUUCAAGGAUGCUGCAGGAGCAUGCUAGCUGCCAAAGUGAUUGGUAUGACGUGCUGAUGCUGGGACAAAGAAUGAUGCUGACCUGUGAGCUUGCUGAGUGUCCUGACAAUGGUGAUGGGAAAGCUGUAUUGGACAUAUGUUCUUGACACACCUUUGCUUGCCUAUAUCCCAAACUGGACAAGCUGCCUUGCUUCAAGCUUUUAGACCUUGAGGGAUGGAGGACAUAGAGACUGUAGAGACUGACUUAGAAAAAUUAACCAAAAGGAAACGUUAUAAUGACUCUUCUCUUUCCUUUAAUGUGACCAGUUAUUCUGACUCAAUCAUGGGCUGGUCCAGAAAUCAAUCCAAUAUUGGAAAAAAGGAAAUGGCAGUCUUCAUUUGGAAGGCUGGUUCUGGGCAUUUUCAGAGACAUAUUUGGAAGCUAGUUGCAGUUCUUUAUGAAGUUACAUUUGCAGUGGAUAAAAUUGGACAGGGUCUGGAUUUCAAACAAGUAUUAGUGCAUGUGUUUAAGCUCCUAAUCUUUUAUUCCUUCAACAGGGAGGACGAUGUACAGCCCUCCAUGAAGAACAUAGUAAAGGAUUCUAUGGCUAACGUUUGAGAAGGACUAGCCAAAAGGACAGAAUUAGAGAUGGUUUGAAUUCUGAUUCUCCACUUCCCUGUGGCUUCUUUUCUUCUUUCUUUCCUUCUUUGUUCCUUCUUUCUUACCUUCCUUCCUUCCUUUCUUUUGUUGUUGUUGUUUUGUUUUUUUUCCCCCUGAGACAGGGUUUCUCUGUAUAGUCCUGGGUGUCCUGGAACUCACUUUUUAGACCAGGCUGGCCUCGAACUCAGAAAUCAGCCUGCCUCUGCCUCCCGAGUGCUGGGAUUAAAGGCAUGCACCACCACCGCCCGGCUUCCCCAUGGCUUACAACUUCAAUUUCUAUACUGCUUGGACCAUUAAUUAUAAUCUUGUUGCUUUUAACUUUUGAACAUUGUAUCUUAAAUAGAUUGGGGCUACCUUCACACAGGAUCACUUUCAGUAAGCUUAGUUAUUCACCAUGGCAGUUGUUCAUCGCUAUGAAGAAACACAUUAUGAGUGCAUAUUCAUAUGUCCUUCGUUGCUUUGGCCUGAAUGGAAAAGAGUGUGCUUUUGAAGGCCGGUAGUCAGGGGCAGCACCUGCAAUUUUCUACAGGAGUAGACUGCCUGCUGAGCUUGCUUUGCAACACAAUCGAGCGGAAACAAAGGAUGGGUCUGUGGGUUCUCCCUAUAUAAAUGCAGUACUAAAUAUUAAACUUUGAGCCUUGAUCAGAAA